GCGUCGGUGGUUUAAUGGUAAAAUCAUCGCUUCCCAUGCGAUGGCUCCGGGUUCGAUUCCCGGCCGACGCA
rnacentral:tRNA from 1 species